rnacentral:lncRNA from 1 species
UUAGGAGCUGAGACCUUGCUAGAGGAGAUCUUCAGGCUGAAAAAAGACCUGUUUCUCCUGUUGUCUGACUUCCAAUUGCUAAGCAGAGAUGAACAAAGACCAAUUUGCAAGAGAAUGGAAAGGAAGAAAUGAACAACUUGGGUUUAAAAAAGAAGGUAUGCAACUAUGACUACGUGCACAUCUAGGGAAGAAGACAAUAGUGUUUACAGCCACAGAAAAAGACUGGAAGAACUGCGAGAGCAUGCUACCUGAGUUGGUGCUGCACAACAAGGGAUCACGUUUAUCCAUCUUACGUAAUGCAAGAAUAGAAACUAUCAUGAGGAUUACUGAGACAAAACUGGAGGGAUGAGAAGAUGACCCUGGCAGCCUUCAAACAGGGCUUUUAAAUAGAAAAAUACUUCAGCUUGUGUAAACAGGAUCUGUCCUUCAAAAUUCACUCUCAA